GACUGAUGGAGGAGGUGGAGAGGGAGGUGACUGAUGGAGGAGGUGGAGAGGGAGGUGACUGAUGGAGGAGGUGGAGAGGGAGGUGACUGAUGGAGGAGGUGGAGAGGGAGGUGACUGGAGGAGGUGGAGAGGGAGGUGACUGAUGGCAUAGGAGGAGAGAGGGAGGUGACUGAUGGGAUAGGAGGAGAGAGGGAGGUGACUGAUGGAGGAGGUGGAGAGGGAGGUGACUGAUGGAGGAGGAGAGAGGGAGGUGACUGAUGGAGGAGGUGGAGAGGGAGGUGACUGAUGGCAUAGGAGGAGAGAGGGAGGUGACUGAUGGAGGAGGUGGAGAGGGAGGUGACUGAUGGAGGAGGAGAGAGGGAGGUGACUGAUGGAGGAGGUGGAGAGGGAGGUGACUGAUGGAGGAGGAGAGAGGGAGGUGACUGAUGGAGGAGGUGGAGAGGGAGGUGACUGAUGGCAUAGGAGGAGAGAGGGAGGUGACUGAUGGGAUAGGAGGAGAGAGGGAGGUGACAGAGGGAUGCUUUGAUUUAUUUUGAUUUAUAGAUGUUUAUUAUUUAUUUUUCUAUUUAAUUUUAAUAUUGCAGUGUGCUAAAAGGGAGCGGGCAAGACAAUGCUGUUCAAUAUUAGAUGUUCAUGACUUUUUGAUAUUUUGAGUAAGUUAAACUCAAUGUAAUUGAGGUAAUCAAUUGCCUCAAAAAUUUUAAGUUUCGAGUCACAUCUUAUUAAGUAAACAACUUCAACAUAUUUGACUACUGUGUACUUAAAACAAUGACAACACAAACUAAUAAACUUUGAGUUGUGUUAACAUAAAAUGGUGUGGUUGUGUACUUAUUCUUUUAAGUUCUGUGAACUUAUUCCAGUGGUUUCAAAACUGGAAAUUUUAAGUCUUAAUAACUGAAAAUAAUUGAGUUGCCUUAACAGAAAACUGUAAGUCAUAUUGACUGCAAAUAUUUGAGUUGAGCUAAAUGAGCACUUUAAUUUAACUGUUAUCAAAAGGUACAAGUAGCAAGUAAUCCAACCUUUUAAGUUCUGGAAAAUUUUGACUUUUAAGUUAAUCAACUUAAAAAAAUUGAGGCAAUUUAUUACGUCAAAUUUUUUGAGUUCUGGUA
ensembl:lncRNA